CGGACACCUGGCCUCUGAGAAAAAUGGUUAGCCUGAGUUUUUAUUUUGAAAAGCCAGAGCGCGAGGGCGAGGCUUUCCACACCAUCCUGCAGUCAUAACUCCCUUGUCUCUGGACCUGCAAGAUGGCGUCCAUUGCAAUGUGCAACCAGCACCGGUAAAUAGAGAUGCAACCGGUGCUCCAGUCUGUGAGUCACCGUGUCUGUUGAGACGCCCACCACAACGAUGUCACACCUGAGUGAAGCCAGACAUGCCUGUGGGGCUCAGUGAUGGAAGCAGCUUUGAUUUUUACAGACAUUUCCAUAAUUCUACCUAUAAAUCAUCUCACCGACUAACUUCUGGUCUCAAAUUUUAGAGACAAAACAAGUCUGAGGACAGAAAAAAAAAAGAAUUGUUUGCAUUUCUCACCUCAUUAAAUGCUUGACAAAAAUGCCUUUUGUGAGAUUAAGAAAGUUCUAUAUACUGUUUCUGUAAAAAGGGAAAAGUCAGAGAGAACAGUCAGUAAUAAAAUAGUAAAAAAAAAAAAG